rnacentral:rRNA from 1 species
CUUGCUUCUCUGAUGUUAGCGGCGGACGGGUGAGUAACACGUGGAUAACCUACCUAUAAGACUGGGAUAACUUCGGGAAACCGGAGCUAAUACCGGAUAAUAUUUUGAACCGCAUGGUUCAAAAGUGAAAGACGGUCUUGCUGUCACUUAUAGAUGGAUCCGCGCUGCAUUAGCUAGUUGGUAAGGUAACGGCUUACCAAGGCAACGAUGCAUAGCCGACCUGAGAGGGUGAUCGGCCACACUGGAACUGAGACACGGUCCAGACUCCUACGGGAGGCAGCAGUAGGGAAUCUUCCGCAAUGGGCGAAAGCCUGACGGAGCAACGCCGCGUGAGUGAUGAAGGUCUUCGGAUCGUAAAACUCUGUUAUUAGGGAAGAACAUAUGUGUAAGUAACUGUGCACAUCUUGACGGUACCUAAUCAGAAAGCCACGGCUAACUACGUGCCAGCAGCCGCGGUAAUACGUAGGUGGCAAGCGUUAUCCGGAAUUAUUGGGCGUAAAGCGCGCGUAGGCGGUUUUUUAAGUCUGAUGUGAAAGCCCACGGCUCAACCGUGGAGGGUCAUUGGAAACUGGAAAACUUGAGUGCAGAAGAGGAAAGUGGAAUUCCAUGUGUAGCGGUGAAAUGCGCAGAGAUAUGGAGGAACACCAGUGGCGAAGGCGACUUUCUGGUCUGUAACUGACGCUGAUGUGCGAAAGCGUGGGGAUCAAACAGGAUUAGAUACCCUGGUAGUCCACGCCGUAAACGAUGAGUGCUAAGUGUUAGGGGGUUUCCGCCCCUUAGUGCUGCAGCUAACGCAUUAAGCACUCCGCCUGGGGAGUACGACCGCAAGGUUGAAACUCAAAGGAAUUGACGGGGACCCGCACAAGCGGUGGAGCAUGUGGUUUAAUUCGAAGCAACGCGAAGAACCUUACCAAAUCUUGACAUCCUUU